rnacentral:SRP_RNA from 1 species
GGUUAGGCCGCACGCAAUGAAAACCCGUAAACCCCGUCAGGACCGGAAGGUAGCAGCGGUAGCGGUGCUUUUCGUGUGCCGUGCACGGCCUGGCCGGA